rfam:Pseudogymnoascus sp. WSF 3629 unplaced genomic scaffold scaffold_4, whole genome shotgun sequence.
UGCUAGAUGGUCUAGUGGUAAGAUGCCCGUCUCUCAAUUAUCAACCGGUUUUGGAUAGCUUCCAAACUCGCCUUCGGCAAGCCCCCGAGUUUGAGGUUGAGAACCAACGGGAGACUCCAGUUCGAGUCUGGGUCUGGCCA